rnacentral:rRNA from 1 species
UCCAGAGGGGGCUAGCGUUGUUCGGAAUCACUGGGCGUAAAGGGCGUGUAGGCGGUCCGCUAAGUCUGAUGUGAAAGCCCGAGGCUUACCCUCGGAAGUGCAUUGGAGACUGGCGGACUGGAGUCCCGGAGAGGAGGGUGGAAUUCCUGGUGUAGCGGUGAAAUGCGUAGAUAUCAGGAGGAACACCGGUGGCGAAGGCGGCCCUCUGGACGGUGACUGACGCUGAGACGCGAAAGCGUGGGGAGCAAACAGG